CUCAUUUUAACUUUUAGUACUGUAAUUGUUUAUUCCAUCUUCCAUUGAUUUACCUGACAUCGUAAUAACUUGCCACAUGAACGCUCUAAUGUUAGAGUGGUCUGUCAGCAACCUGAAACUGAAAUCAAUAUUGGACACACAGAGAAACAAUUUGAUUACGUUGACAUAGAUUUUCCACAGGCGUGGAGUCCCUGGCACAUUGUUGUAUACAUCCCCAUGGCCUCACCUCCAGACACAGUCAGAGUUAAGGUGUAACUCUGAGUCCCUGGAACAUUGUUGUAUACAUCCCCAUGGCCUCACCUCCAGACACAGUCAGAGUUAAGGUGUAACUCUGAGUCCCUGGCACAUUGUUGUAUACAUCCCAAUGGCCUCACCUCCAG
ensembl:lncRNA